AGGUUGGAGCAUGCGCCAUAUU
rnacentral:miRNA from 1 species